rnacentral:rRNA from 1 species
UACGUAGGGUGCAAGCGUUAAUCGGAAUUACUGGGCGUAAAGCGUGCGCAGGCGGUUAUGUAAGACAGGGGUGAAAUCCCCGGGCUUAACCUGGGAAUGGCAUUUGGGACUGCAAGGCUCGAGUGCGGCAGAGGAGACUGGAAUUCCUGGUGUAGCAGUGAAAUGCGUAGAUAUCAGGAGGAACACCGAUGGCGAAGGCAGGUCUCUGGGCUGACACUGACGCUCAUGCACGAAAGCGUGGGGAGCAAACAGG